rnacentral:tRNA from 1 species
AGGGAUGUAGCUCAGUUGGUAGAGAACUUGCCUUGCAUGCACAAGGUCCUGAGUUCAAUCCCCAGCAUCACCA